rnacentral:rRNA from 1 species
AUUGAACGCUGGUGGCAUGCUUUACACAUGCAAGUCGAACGGCAGCGGGGUAGUGCUUGCACUACUGCCGGCGAGUGGCGACCGGGUGAGUAAUAUAUCGGAACGUACCGAGUAAUGGGGGAUAACCAAUCGAAAGAUUGGCUAAUACCGCAUACGUCCUGAGGGAGAAAGCGGGGGAUCGCAAGACCUCGCGUUAUUCGAGCGGCCGAUAACUGAUUAGCUAGUUGGUGGGGUAAAGGCCUACCAAGGCGACGAUCAGUAGCGGGUCUGAGAGGACGAUCCGCCACACUGGGACUGAGACACGGCCCAGACUCCUACGGGAGGCAGCAGUGGGGAAUUUUGGACAAAGGGGGCAACCCUGAUCCAGCCAUGCCGCGUGUAUGAAGAAGGCCUUCGGGUUGUAAAGUACUUUUGUUAGGGAAGAAAAGGGAAGUGCUAAUACCACUUUUUGCUGACGGUACCUAAAGAAUAAGCACCGGCUAACUACGUG